AGGGAAUCUUCCGCAAUGGGCGAAAGCCUGACGGAGCAACGCCGCGUGAGUGAAGAAGGUCUUCGGAUCGUAAAACUCUGUUAUUAGGGAAGAACAAAUGUGUAAGUAACUAUGCACGUCUUGACGGUACCUAAUCAGAAAGCCACGGCUAACUACGUGCCAGCAGCCGCGGUAAUACGUAGGUGGCAAGCGUUAUCCGGAAUUAUUGGGCGUAAAGCGCGCGUAGGCGGUUUUUUAAGUCUGAUGUGAAAGCCCACGGCUCAACCGUGGAGGGUCAUUGGAAACUGGAAAACUUGAGUGCAGAAGAGGAAAGUGGAAUUCCAUGUGUUGUGGUGAAAUGCGCAGAGAUAUGGAGGAACACCAGUGGCGAAGGCGACUUUCUGGUCUGUAACUGACGCUGAUGUGCGAAAGCGUGGGGAUCAAACAGGAUUAGAUACCCUGGUAGUCCACGCCGUAAACGAUGAGUGCUAAGUGUUAGGGGGUUUCCGCCCCUUAGUGCUGCAGCUAACGCAUUAAGCACUCCGCCUGGGGAGUACGACCGCAAGGUUG
rnacentral:rRNA from 1 species